AUUUGGGGAACUAAAAAAUAUGUACUUUUUUAGCUGAUAUAUUAAAAAUCUAUAAUUUUGGCUGACCCUAUGACCACAGAUUUUGUGAAAAACCAGAGAUUGUUCGAUUCUGGAAAAUAUAAUUUUGUGAGAAACCAGAGAUUAUAGAGAAUAUACUUUAGAUGAGACUUUAGGGUUAUAUCAGUUUCAAUUCAGGGUCAUGAAUACCGUGCUAAGGCAUACUCAAAAUGCAAAUUGCUUUCAUUUCUAAUUAUUGAAAGCCUUUCCCUUUGAUCAUAGCUCUAAUACCAUUCAGUAUCUUAUUGGAAUUAAUGGGCAACCAAGAAUUAUUGUUGUACCCUGAAAAGCAGCUUGCUAGCAAUUGAGGUCUUCACCUAAUGAGUUAGAUAGCAACUUGCCGCCACUUGAGUUUACUAUUUUGUUGUUAUUUCUGAUUUCAUUAAUUUGGAUUGUGUUUUACAUUUGGUUACAA